UGGCCACUGACCACCCCAGAGUGACCACUGGUCACUUAUGGCCACCCCAGAGUAACCAUUGACCUCCCCAAAUGGCCACUGACCAUCCCAAAGUGGCCACUGACCAUCCCAAAGUGGCCACUGACCUCCCCAAAGUGACCCCUGACCACCCCAAAGUGGCCACUGACCACCCCAGAGUGACCACUGACCACCCCAAAGUGACCACUGAUCUCCCUAAAUGGCCACUGACCAUCCCAAAGUGGCCACUGACCCCCCAAAUUGACCCCUGACCUCCCCAAAGUGGCCACUGACCACCCCAGAGUGGCCACUGACCUCCCAAAGUGGCCACUGACCACCCCCGAGUGACCACUGACCACCCCAGAGUGACCCCUGACCAUCCCAGAGUGACCACUGACCACCUCAGAGUGACCACUGACCUCCCCAGAGUGACCACUGACCACCCCAGAAGUGGCCACUGACCAUCCCAAAGUGGCCACUGACCCCCCAAAGUGACCCCUGACCAUCCCAAAGUGGCCACUGACCCCCCAAAUUGACCCCUGACCACCCCAAAGUGACCCCUGACCAUCCCAAAGUGGCCACUGACCACCCCAAAGUGACCCCUGACCUCCCCAAAGUGGCCACUGACCAUCCCAAAGUGACCCCUGACCAUCCCAGAGUGACCCCUGACCUCCCCAGAGUGGCCACUGACCACCCCAAAUGGCCACUGACCUCCCCAAAGUGACCCCUGACCUCCCCAAAGUGGCCACUGACCAUCCCAAAGUGGCCACUGACCACCCCAAAAUGACCCCUGACCACCCCAAACUGGCCACUGACCACCCCAGAGUGACCACUGACCAUCCCAGAGUGGCCACUGACCACCCCAGAGUGGCCACUGACCGCCCCAAAGUGGCCACUGACCCCCCAAAUUGACCCCUGACCCCCCAAACUGACCACUGGUCACCUCGAGGUCACCUCUGGGUCACCCUGAGUGGUCUCCCCUCCCCUUGACCUUUGACCUCUCGCUGACCCCGCCCCUUUCCCCUCCCAACCAAUAAAAACGCUCGGGAGUCGUUCCCGCCUG